rnacentral:rRNA from 1 species
UCCUACGGGAGGCAGCAGUAGGGAAUCUUCCGCAAUGGACGAAAGUCUGACGGAGCAACGCCGCGUGAGUGAUGAAGGCUUUCGGGUCGUAAAACUCUGUUGUUAGGGAAGAACAAGUACGAGAGUAACUGCUCGUACCUUGACGGUACCUAACCAGAAAGCCACGGCUAACUACGUGCCAGCAGCCGCGGUAAUACGUAGGUGGCAAGCGUUAUCCGGAAUUAUUGGGCGUAAAGCGCGCGCAGGCGGUUUCUUAAGUCUGAUGUGAAAGCCCACGGCUCAACCGUGGAGGGUCAUUGGAAACUGGGGAACUUGAGUGCAGAAGAGAAAAGCGGAAUUCCACGUGUAGCGGUGAAAUGCGUAGAGAUGUGGAGGAACACCAGUGGCGAAGGCGGCUUUUUGGUCUGUAACUGACGCUGAGGCGCGAAAGCGUGGGGAGCAAACAGGAUUAGAUACCCUGGUAGUCCACGCCGUAAACGAUGAGUGCUAAGUGUUAGAGGGUUUCCGCCCUUUAGUGCUGCAGCUAACGCAUUAAGCACUCCGCCUGGGGA